rnacentral:tRNA from 1 species
GGCCCUUUAGCUCAGUGGUUAGAGCAGACGACUCAUAAUCGUCCGGUCGCUGGUUCAAACCCAACAGGGGCCACCA